GACGAACGCUGGCGGCGUGCCUAAUACAUGCAAGUAGAACGCUGAAGGAGGAGCUUGCUUCUCUGGAUGAGUUGCGAACGGGUGAGUAACGCGUAGGUAACCUGCCUGGUAGCGGGGGAUAACUAUUGGAAACGAUAGCUAAUACCGCAUAAGAGUAGAUGUUGCAUGACAUUUGCUUAAAAGUUGCAAUUGCAUCACUACCAGAUGGACCUGCGUUGUAUUAGCUAGUUGGUGUGGUAACGGCUCACCAAGGCGACGAUACAUAGCCGACCUGAGAGGGGGAGCGGCCAGCCUGGGAAGGAGACACGGCCCAGACUCCUACGGGAGGCGGCAGAAGGGAAGCUUCGGGAAUGGACGGGAGUCUGAGCGAGCAACGCCGGGUGAGUGAAGAAGGUUUUCGGAUCGUAAAGCUCUGUUGUAAGAGAAGAACGAGUGUGAGAGUGGAAAGUUCACACUGUGACGGUAACUGACCAGAGAGGGACGGCUAACUACGUG
rnacentral:rRNA from 1 species